CAGCAUGAGCAUGCCUGCUUUUUGCCGUCAGUAGCAAAAGCCAUCCAAAUAGCUCUUUGUCUGCCACCAACAACUUGCACCAUCGAGCGAUCAUUCAGCACUCUCAAACGUGUGAAGACCUGGAUAAGGAAUACGAUGUCGAACAAUCGUCUAAGUGGGCUAUGCCUGUUAUCUGUACACAGAAGAAAAAUAAAAGAAAAUAUAGAAAACUUCAUGCAGAAAGUAAUUGAUUUAUUUGCGAUGGACACCAGAAGAAUUCAAUUAUUAUUUAAGUAACAUUUUACUGACACUAACCGUGUUGCGUUUUAAACAGCAAAACAAUUUUUCUUGUA